AGUGAACGCUGGCGGUAGGCCUAACACAUGCAAGUCGAACGGCAGCACAGAGGAGCUUGCUCCUUGGGUGGCGAGUGGCGGACGGGUGAGGAAUACAUCGGAAUCUACUCUGUCGUGGGGGAUAACGUAGGGAAACUUACGCUAAUACCGCAUACGACCUACGGGUGAAAGCAGGGGAUCUUCGGGCCUUGCGCGAUUGAAUGAGCCGAUGUCGGAUUAGCUAGUUGGCGGGGUAAAGGCCCACCAAGGCGACGAUCCGUAGCUGGUCUGAGAGGAUGAUCAGCCACACUGGAACUGAGACACGGUCCAGACUCCUACGGGAGGCAGCAGUGGGGAAUAUUGGACAAUGGGCGCAAGCCUGAUCCAGCCAUACCGCGUGGGUGAAGAAGGCCUUCGAGUUGUAAAGCCCUUUUGUUGGGAAAGAUAUCCAUCUGGUUAAUACCCGGGUGGGAUGACGGUACCCAAAGAAUAAGCACCGGCUAACUUCGUGCCAGCCGCCGCCGUAA
rnacentral:rRNA from 1 species